rnacentral:rRNA from 1 species
GACAGAGGUGCCAAGCGUUAGGCGGAAUCACUGGGCUUAAAGCGUGUGUAGGCGGAUUCCUAAGUACCUUGUGAAAUCCCACGGCUCAACCGUGGAACUGCUUGGUAUACUGGGUGUCUUGAGCCACUUAGGGGCUACCGGAACAAAUGGUGGAGCGGUGAAAUGCGUAGAUAUCAUUUGGAACGCCAAUGGUGAAAACAGGUAGCUGGGAGUGUGCUGACGCUGAGACACGAAAGCCAGGGGAGCGAACGGG